GACGAACGCUGGCGGCGUGCUUAACACAUGCAAGUCGAACGGUAAGGCCCUGCUUUUGUGGGGUGCUCGAGUGGCGAACGGGUGAGUAACACGUGAGUAACCUGACCUUGACUUUGGGAUUACUUAAGGAAACUGGGGCUAAUCCCGGAUAGGAGCUCCUGCUGCUUGGUGGGGGUUGGACAGUUUCGGCGGUUGGUGAUGGACUCGCGGCUUAUCAGCUUGUUGGUGGGGUAGUGGCUUACCAAGGCUUUGACGGGUAGCCGGCCUGAGAGGGUGACCGGCCACAUUGGGACUGAGAUGCGGCCCAGACUCCUGCGGGAUGCAGCAGUGGGGAAUAGUGCACAAUGGGCGGAAGCCUGAUGCAGCAACGCCGCGUGCGGGAUGACGGCCUUCGGGUUGUAAACCGCUUUCGCCUGUUACGAAGCGUGAGUGACGGUAAUGGGUAAAGAAGCACCGGCUAACUACGUG
rnacentral:rRNA from 1 species